rnacentral:rRNA from 1 species
UACAGAGGUGGCGAGCGUUGUUCGGAUUUACUGGGCGUAAAGGGUGCGUAGGCGGCUUCGUAUGUCGGAUGUGAAAUCCCACGGCUCAACUGUGGAAUUGCAUUCGAAACUGUGAAGCUAGAGUACAGUAUGGGAGAGCGGAAUUCUUGGUGUAGCGGUGAAAUGCGUUGAUAUCAAGAGGAACACCGGUGGCGAAGGCGGCUCUCUGGAAUGUUACUGACGCUGAGGCACGAAAGCUGGGGGAG